rnacentral:rRNA from 1 species
GGUAAACGCUGGCGGCGUGCCUAAAACAUGCAAGUCGAACGCACUUCUGGUCUUCGGGCUGGGGGUGAGUGGCGGACGGCUGAGGAACGCGUGGGCGACCUGCCCCCGAGUGGGGAAUACCUGCCCGAAAGGGCGGACAAUACCGCAUGCGCCCCCGGGUUCGGUCCCGGGGGCAAAGUCCCUGGUUUGCAGGGAUGCUCGGGGAGGGGCCCGCGUCCGAUUAGCUGGUUGGCGGGGUAACGGCCCACCAAGGCGGUGAUCGGUCGCUGGUCUGAGA